UAAGAGAGGAAAAGAUGAAAUUUGUAAAAUAUUAGGAGAAACGAAGCAAAAACAUGGUUAUUAACAUUUGUUAAACCCUCCGUCACUGCAACAGGUUAUGGACCCAUAGUGGUAAUCACGUUCAAAUGUAUGCGUGUCUCUUUUGUAGCUGUAGUUGUGAAACUUGAGGGAAAAUAUAUGCACUCUUACCCCGGUUGUUAGUUUUAUCAUUAUUUAGCCGUUUUACCCAAAUCAAUUGGGUAAUAUUUUCAUAUGCAAUCUGAAUAGCCUUUGUAUUGGCGUGCAUUUUUGUGUAUGGAAAAAAUCAAGCUAGUGUACGUGUGUUGAAAUGUCACUUAUCUCUAUAAACGGGUGACAUCGUUUAUCGUUAUUAACUACAGUAAUCGUUCGAUAACUAAAACAUGUUGACGUUUCACUUAUCGAAUGAAAUUCUAAGGCUGAAUCAACUGACAGACGUCAAAGAACUGCCAGUUACUGCAAAAUGCGCUAAAAGUACGUUCGGAAAACAUCGCAUCUCUGUUGAUGUUUUACUUUGACGGAAAGCGGUAUGAUUACCUACUGCAAAACUGUUGCACUUCGUGGACGUUUAGUGCAAAUACAUUGCAGUUAGCGCGUUUGCAUUGCAACUUUAUCCACUAUCUUCAGACUACUCUGUCCUUACCACAGCUCUUCUUUAAUCUAGUACCACAGACAAACAGACGUAUCACUUGGAACAAAUUGCGAUAAAAAUCAUCGUCACGAAAACAUAGUCGCCCAAUGCUAAUCAGGCUGUGUUACGCAAACCACUCAGUAGGUGGCCGUAGUGAGCAAACGUCAAACAGGAGCAAAAACGAUGCGAACGCCGUGACUGAGAGAUUUGCGAACUACAAAAUGUUUAAACUAACCGUUAAAAAGGGUAACGAUGAGAAGUGAGUAGAGUGAGACGUCUGUUUGUCUGUGCUAGUACGCUAGUACCCUUGCCGCUGCUGUCGACAUCUUCUGUUUUUUUAUUCUUCACCUUAUCUCGAUUCUAUAACCUUUCAUGAAUCAGUCUCAAGUCAACUUUUGAUGUAGUGCAGUGGAACUUCACCUACGCACGUCUUCACCGGCCAUCUUCAAUGGCGGAAAGCAAGUAAAAGCACCUGAGAAUGCAACAAUGCCUUUCACAAUGACUGGUUCCAAUUCCAACUCACUCUCUAAUCCUUCCGAAACUUCGCAAAAGGAUAUCUUCAGUAAUUCUAUCCAGAAUAACUUCGGAAUGCUGGUUUUCUCAGUCUUGGGUGAACCAAAACAGCUAGUUCUGCUUUUCCCGACGUUUCGGCUUUUUACUAGGCCUUUUUGAAGGGGUUAGUUGUCAACCGUUUCUACAGCAACUAAUGAAACUGAUUGCUCAGUUUAUAGUCUAGUGUAGUGUACGUCGUUGAUGAUCACCGUAGUGUCCCAGUGUCUGAAAAUUGAAUACAAGAAGCUCUCUCUCAUAAAUCCGGCAAUAACGGUGGUAACGAGGAACGGUUGACAGCUUGAACCCCUUGAAAAAGGCCUAUUAGAAAGCCGAAACGUCGGGAACAGCAAAUCUAGGCGUUUGAAUUUAAGACUGAGAAAGUCAACACUCUGGAAUUAACAUUGUAUUCCAGUCGUACUCAUCCAGCACAAUCCUGAGUAACUCUUUGAAGAGUUUCCAGAAUUCUUGCUUGAAUUUCUACUAGAAUUUCUUCUUGAAUUCAUUCCAUGAUUUCUUCAAGAUGUUUUACCAGGAUCGAUUCCAAAGUACCUUCAGGAUUUCUCUUAGAAGUUUUCUUGGGAUGUCUCAGAGUUUCUUUUGGGCUUUCGUCAGAAAUUUUCUCGGAAUUCCCUUCAAAAGUAUUUUUGAGAUUUUUUCCUAAGAAUUUCUCUGCGCAUCUCUCUCAAAUCUUAAUUGUGGUUUUCCAAGGUUUUCCUGACAUUCCUUGCAAAUAUUUUCAAAGACGGUCUCCAUAAGUUCUUCAGAAGUUUUACCAACUGCUCUACUUGGAAUUUCUCUCAAAAAUUAUUGAAUUUAUUUUGAGAUAUCUGCCAGAAUUUUACGCAGAUUUGAAACUGAAAAUCUCGUCGGUAUUUCUUGGGAAAACCCCUCCUAUUUAUCACAAGGUAUUCCAGAGAUGAUUACAGGAUGUAUCCCAAGAGGAACUACUAAAUAAAUGCUAAGAUUGCCUGUAGAAAUCUCAAGAUAAACAUCUGGAGAUAUCAUGGAAACACCUAAGGGAGAAUUCCUCGGUGGAAAUCUUGGAGAAAUCCCUGGGCUAUCUAUUGGCGAAAUCCGUAAAGAAGCAUUUGAAAAAGCCUAAGGAGGAAUUCUGAAAGAAAUCCCUGAAUAGAUUUAAAAGGAAUACCAUUAACAACUUCUUAAGAAACUCUGAGAAAAAAAAAACUAAGAAGUCUAAAUGCUGAGAGGAUCUUUUCAAGUUUUCGAGAUAUAAUUUAUUCUAGCUUCUGUUGAUGUCCGAUCUCUGUGCUUCUGCGAGGUCUAUGUUUUGGUGGAAUCUUGGGAGGAGUUUUUGUAGCAGUCUCAGGAGGAACUCUGAAAGAGUUUAAGGAGAAACAUCUGCAGGAAUACAAAGAGAAACUCUGGGAUAUCUCCCGGGAAAAAUCCCGAGGAUAUCUUACGAAAGAAAUCUCAGGAGAAUUCUGGAGCAGACCCAAACGAAACUCGUUCUCAAUUCAGCAAGGAAUCCCAAAACGUUUUCCUGGAGGAAUACCGAGAAAAUCCCUGUAUGUAUCCUGAAGGCAACUACAGCAUAAAUUUUGGAAGUAAGUUUCGUCCGGAACCCAGAAGAAACUAAAAGAAUUCCUAGCGAAAUUUCGGAGAAAAAUACGAAAGAAUUUCUCGACGAAUCCUUCAACGGAUUCUAAGAGAAAUCUUUGGAAGCGGAGUUACCAAAGAAGUGUUCUGGAGGAAUUUCUGAGGCAAAGUUUCUUUAACCGAUGUUCACUAGAGAGAAGCUUUCUGAAAGGAUGAGAUUUCGGUGCAAACUUAACAUCUAGAGCCCAGAAGAAGAUUCAAAUCCGAGGAUCGAAACGUCGGCGAUGAAAUAAACCAACGCUUUUUUCUGUGAUUGCAAGCCGAAACCAUUAGAAGUAGAGUUCUGAACUUCUUUGCACUCAAGCAUUCGUGGGCAACUCUAGGAUUGCGAGGAAGAAUAUGUGAUCUUGCGUUGGGAGCAGCAAAUAUUGCGAAAAGCUAUAGGGAUUUCAUAAACACAUUAAUGGUGUAUCAUUCCUUCUCGCGAGAGCUCAAUUUACAUUUUCAGCUUAUUUCUGAAGUUCUAUAAUUGUAGAAGAAGUUUCAUGAAUUUCCGUAUUUCAGUUGCCACAUUGAUAGGUAUAGACAUUAGGUAGGCAUAGAUAGGCAUUCAUAGGUAAAAUGACAUGCUCUCACGGUUUUGUUGCUCAAAGGCACUCACGAAGAGUGUUGAAAGGGGAUACAAGCAAAAGGGUUGUAUACCAUUUCACCGAAAACCAUUUCGCGGAAUUUUUUUUCGCGGUGUAACAUUUCGCGGAAUGCGCCAUUUCGCCGAAUACCAUUUCGCGGAACGACUUUUCGCGGAAUGUACUGUUUCGCGGAAUACCAUUUCGCGGAAUUUAAUACUUUGCAAAUAAUAAUGGAAUAGCACAUUAUUUUCUCUGCUAAACUUUACUAGCCUUAUCACCGAUUCAUGCGCAAUAAUAAACACCUCAGCUUUACGAUUGUACUAAUUGAUGUUAUAUCUGUUACUUUUCUGAACAAAACUUUACCUUCUUUGAUUCGUAGGCUGUUCUUGAGAGUUCUGAACGUCAGGCCAAAAGCCAUUCGGCCGAAUGUCUUUAGGUCGAAUGGAAAUGAGGCCAAAUAGACAUUAGGCACAAUGACCAACAAGCCAUAGUUGUCACAUAAGUUGUACUUUCAAGCGCUUAUAUUGCUAACUCUUUCUGAAAUUUUGAUUUCCUUAAAAUAAGUCUGUUCUUUCCAGUAACAUUGUUUUUUUUUGUAUCUGUAUUAACGAGAUUUUUAGACCUAGGAUAUCUCAUCUCGGGACCCACGCUAUACUUCCCUUCCGAAGGAAGAACUCACAUUUUGUGAAGUUUGUAGGGAGUGGGAUUCGAUCCCAGGUCCUCGGCGUGAUAGUCAAGUGUUCUAACCAUCACACCAGGUCCGCUCCACAGUAACAUUGUUGUUUGGCGACUGCAUUUUUAAGUUUUUCAUCAUUUCGGCACCAACAUUUCAAAAGGGCGUAACUACAUUUUGAAACAAACCACUCUUUCACAUCUGUGGGUCAUAUUUUAAGUUCCCCUCGAAAUUCACAAACAUUACUAGACAGAGAAAUUGCUCUUCUUUCCUAUACUGGCGGUGAUUUGCAUGGCGCCAUUGAAAUACGAUCCACAGAUGUGAAAGAGGAGUUUGUUUCAAAAUGCAGUUACGCCCUUUUGAAAUGUUGGUGCCGAUUUACCUCUUUUCUUCAAAGGCUGUGCAUGUGGUGUGUAGUUUUUAUUGAUUAAAUUGAUAACUCUAUAGGAGAUUUGCCCUUCUUCUGAUGAUAGGCUGUUCUUCCAAGUUUACUGUUAAAAAUGUUGGCUAGUGACCAAACUGAAACUACUAACUUAUCUGAGAUUUUUCAUUCUGUCAAAAAUGGGCUGUUCUUUAGAGUAACACUGUUGGUGAGUUUUUUGGUGGCCAGGCAGCCGACGUUACAGAUUGUUCCUUCUUUAAAACAAGGGCUGCUGAUUCAAGUUGCACUGGAGUUAUCUAUUGGCAGUCUUUUUGCUAACUCUGAGGAAGAUAUGUUCUUCAGAUCUUUCGAGGCGUAUUAUCUUAUUGAUCAUUGUAAUUAUGUAAAAAUGAUGCUAUUUGUAUACAGGGUGAACGCGUAACCCAUAAGCCAAGUAACACUAUGUUCUAACUAACUCAAACUGUUGUAAUAAAUAUUAGAAAAAAAAAUCAUUUUUGUAUAACAGGUUUUUCCAUUUUUCAAACAAACGCUAUUUUUAACAGAUAUGCUGUUAUGUUCAAUACGAAAGUUUUCCUUCUGGUUAAAACUGUUCUUUCAUGAAUUGUAUGCAUUAUACUUAUUUUGGCAUAACUGCUAAAUUGAUAUUAUCAGAAAAUUUCCCUUCUUUCAUACAUAGGCUGUUCUUUCAAAGUAUACUGCUACAAAAAUAAUGUUGUGAUAUGAAGUAUUCCAUUUUCGUGUGCUGAUUUGAAUUUUGAAUCACAUCAUGAUGUUGUCUCUCGAUAAGUUAAAUUGUUUGCUUUUAUUAUCGAUUUUCCGCGAAAUGAAACAUUCCGCCAAAUGGUUUUCGGCGAAAUGGUGCAUUCCGCGAAAUGGUUCAUUCCGCCAAAUGUCGUUCCGCGAAAUGUUACACCGCGAAAAGGAAUUCCGCGAAAUGGUUUUCGGCGAAAUGUUAUACAAUCCCUGUUCUGUGGUGUAGUAGGUUAACGCGCCCUGUCAAGGGAAUUGGGGAGUCGUGGGUUCAAACCCCUCCAGAACGACGUGUACUUUUUUUUUGCAAUUUACCAGUUUAUUUUUAAUUCAUUUUUUCAACUCGUUCUUGCAAAUGAACUGCAGACUUAACGUAUGUGUACUCCUUUUCUAUAAACUUUCUCCAAGAGAAUUUGAAAUAUGUUGGUCAACAGUUUCUCCCGGAGUUAUUUUUGUCAAAAAAUCUAUAUCGAAUUUUUAGUCUAAUCCUGAAGACAUCCGCAGGGCGUUUUUGAAGAUAUUCUCACAAACAGGAUUCGUUCGAUAAAAUUCAAGGAAUAAAUAGACCAAACUUCCGGAAUCACAGGACGAAUUGUACCUCAAAGAAUUCUUAAAAAAAGGUCUAUGUCAUUCUUAUUUUAGAUAGUCUGUAUUCGAAGUCAGUUUAAAGUUCCUUCAGGGUUACUUAAUUCCGGCAGGUUCUUUUCUAGUAAUUUCUGCAGAAAUUUCUUUAGGAACCCCUACAGAGAAUCCGCAGAUUUUUUUUUGAAAAGUUGUCUUUAAUUGAAAUCUUCAACGAAUUCCUGUUGAAGUUCUAGAGAGAAAAGUUUGGAAGAGUAAAAACCGACUUCAGAAAUCUUCCAGUGAGUGACAGAAGAUUCAUUUGAGAUAUCUGCAGCAAUUCCUUUCAAUAUUUGUUUAGAGAUUUUCAAUCAGUUCAUCAGGAAAUCGAACUGAAUCUCUUCCAAGUUUUAGAGCGGAAUUUUAGAAAAAUCCUGGGAUAGAUGGUAGGAAAUUAUUCACAUGGAUCUCUACAAUUGUAUCAGAAUAGAUUCUUGAACGAGAUCCAGGGAUACACUCUUAAAGAGAUUCUUUAAAUUGAUUUCCUGGAUUUUUGUCAUGAAUACCUGGAGAAAUUACGUAUAAAAACUCAGUACGCAAAGGUUGGGAGCGCAACCACAGUGAAAAGACGUUUAUCCUUGUUGUUUUCCUUGUGUAAAACUUUGUAACGUUUAUAUUGUCUAUGCGGUUGGAAUCGAAAGGAUUUCUGUUUGGAACAAGGUUUGGAAUGGGUUUAAAGCUACUGCUCCCUAAUGUAGUGGAGACGCGCGACAGAAUUUCUUGAAUUAUAAAGAUUUUCGUAUAGAAAGGUGGCCGGUUGUGCGCGAAAAUUAGUGUUUAUUGAUCCAUUUUCAGAUCUUAUCACCAACCAUAGGUGAUUCCUAGACCUGACAAUGUACCCUACCCUACUAACAAAAUUUCCUUCCCAAGACAAUCGUGGAGACACAGAGAUUCUGUGCGCUGUGCUGUUGAAGACAAGGGGAUAGAUUCCGAAAUUAUUCAGAAAACGUCGCGAGUUGGAUCACGUCGUCACUCAAAUGUGCGACGUCCGAUUUGGUGGCAAAGUGACAAUAUUAGAAUUUGUCGCUAUGCACCUGUUGCGUGGCACAAGAUUACCAAAGAAUGACGCUUACAGUGUCAUGUUGUCAUUCUUUGUUUCUCGCAUUCGCCGUUUUCGGCAUAUCAGCGCUAGCUUCGCUUUGUGUGCUUUAAUGUAUUUGGAAUUUCUCAGAAUUGCUUACUUCUAGCCCCAAACAGAGCACCGAGGUUACCAUCACCUUAGGAAUAGGAAACUAUCAAGUGCAACACAGCACAUAAAGCCCCGAUCACACUGUUCAUAAAAAAGAACUAUCAGACAGUGUGGCAGAAAGAAGAGUGAUACUGUUACUAUUUGCACCUUGACUUGCACUAUUCCAAAAGCUGCAACGUGCAACAAAGCACACAUUCAGCUGCGGUCACACUACCGUUUAUUCACAUGAGAUAUCCCACGACCUCAUUUACCAUUGCCCAAAAACUCACCACAGCGAGGGUCACAACAGCGACCGUCUUCACCGCGUGUCUAAAACAUCGUCAACAAGUGAAGUGCAGUCGCCACCUCCACCGUGGCCGUGGAGUGUCUGCUUGUAGUGAUCGCCUUCGAGUGCAAUCGAUUUCCGUCAAAACAACAAAAUCCACGAAAUAACGAUUUGGAAGAACCCUUCAGCAUCAUGGACGGAUAGAUGGAUGGAUGGACCGAGGCGGAGCGGGACCGUUGGUUGUUCCCUCAAACACCCAUCGCUUUCUUAUGGAGUAGGAACAAAACAACUAUACGACGACGAGACUUGGUAUAUACGAGCAUGGCAACAACAUUAAUCAUCGAUCCGGAGAGUCAGAGUCAGAGAGUCAGCCAGACGCAGUCGGUCGGUCAGUCGUCGUCCGUCAGACUGACUGUUUUCGGGUCUCGGACGCGCGCGGUCGGGGUCGAAGGCCAACCCCGCGCGAGAGAGAGAUCGGGAUUCUGGACGGACGCGGACACGGAGGGGUGCGCUGAAACGAAAAGUCAUUAAAUUAUUUUCCUAUUUAAUUUCAUUAUCGGAGCGACGGGGGUAGGUGAGUGGGAUGCGACGACGGGGAAGUAUAGAUUUCAAGUUUACAGCAUCUCGCAGUCUGGGCUGCUAGCUGGAAGACCGGAGUACCGCAGAGCGAGGUCUUCAUUGCGAACGAGUCGGAGCGACGUAGCCUUCGCCGACUCGUAGAUAUUAAAUUUAUCGUAUUUCGAUUGUUAUCAAUAACAAUAUUUUGUGUGUAACAUAAUAAUUUACUCGUUGGGUGGAGUGGUUCGACAAGACCGGUCGAACCCGCACAGAUAACCGUCCGUCUGACGGAGACGAACCCGGUCGAGUUAACCGAUAAGUGUCUAGCACAUCUUCUAGGAGCGUAUACACAAGCGCACUGUUCAAUAUCAAUGGAAUUGAUUGCUGUUGCAAGAAAUUUGUGCCCCUCGUUCUUGUUCUGGGGGGCUGGGAACAUGUGUUUUUGGCAGUUGAUGAAGAGGGGUAGGAAACCUAGAGAUGGUGGCGACGCCAGCGGCGGUUGAUGUUGAUAGUGAACUCAAUCACUCGUCAGUUCGGCGCAGCCGGCAUCUUCAACGUCGGCAUCUGCAAACUCACAGUGGUCUAUUAUUAUUUAAUUUAAUUUUAAUUAAGCUUAAUUUGGAGAGUGUUGCAUCGAGGGAACCCAUGAAGCACUAUCUAGUCUGACCGGGUUGCUGCUUCAUUGAGCGAAAGCGAUAUUUUCAGUUCAUCGGAAGCCAUAUAUGACGGAGCCGUCCGAGGGGUCCACCGAACAUCUGCGUUCUGCCGGUAGUCACCGGGCAUCGCAUCGGAUCAUUUCUAUUAACGAGCGAUUUGUCAAAAAUUGGCGUCUUUUUUCGGGGAACGAAAGCCGAAACGCCUCCAUCAGACUGCGCGUCAUACUAGUUGGGCGCUGGCUGACUGCUUCUUUCAGUUUUGGUCGAUCGGAUCGGCGGAGAUUCUCGGCGGGAGGAAUCCCACAACGACCGCGAGUGACGCGACGUCAAAGACCAAAACCAAGAAGAUACACCUCGCCGUCGUGGCAAGCAAGCGGGCGGCGGCCGGAGUUUUUUCUUUCCUCCUAUUUAAAAGCCUGUGAAGCCCCCGAAGACGGCGGCAGCGGGAAGAAAUUUAAGCCGUUUUCUACCGCAGCGUGUGUACACCCCUUGUCUGCACGGCCCCUCCUGUCAGGCGAGGGGUAAGACACACAAAAAAUAAAUACGCGCGCUCUCGGUCGGGUUACGAGACACAGGCGAAGCAGUGGUGGCGGCGAGAGACAGGCCCAAGUGGAUUUUAUUACAUUUUUUCAUCAUCCACUUCUUGGUCGUCAUCUUCGUAUUUGUCUUCGCCUUCCUUCCAAAAGCAAUCUUUCUUCUCGUGUGGUGGUGGUUCUUGUUGUUCCUCUACACUCCUGGCUCUGCUGGAUUGAACCAGCUCGACGAGAAGAGGUUACGUUGCUGCUGCGGCUCGGCUGCUGCGUUCCUUAUUUUUUGUGGAUUCUUUUUUAUUUUAGAAGUUCACAACCCGAUCAACGGACGGCCAACGCUUAGAGAGGUCCCGAAGCGGCCGAGGUCGUUCUCUCCUCGAAUGUGUGUAUGUGUCUCGCCCCUCGGACCUCUCGGCUCGCCUUGAGCACUCCAGGAAACCGCAAAAGGCUGGAUCAUACCUACGAGGAACGACCGCGGCAACAACGGCGACGACGAGUGUCCUUGAGAUUGUAGUAAAGUGAAGUUCAACAAGUGUGUUGAAUGUUGAUGCACGGCGGCGUUUUCACCGCUUCACGCGUCGUCGUUCAUCCAAACGUAUUAAUGGGUAAUUAUUAACGCUGGCGUUAAGUUGUUUCAAGCUCUCGUUUCGGAGUUCGAGGGAGCUUUCAACCGCGUCCGCGUACUCCACGUUGCGAUGGCCACCUAAUACAAUGCUCCUCUUAGAGCCUCUCUGGACCUGGACCAACCUAGCCUACAGACUAGAGUCCGAGCGCAGCAGCGGCAUAAAUUAGCCGGACGAUGUCCCGAAUUUACAUAUAAAUUGUUGUGUUAUGUUCAAUGCGUAGUAGUUGUUUUCUUCGGCCUGAUUCGGACGUGCUCCAGCAGAGAGCUUUCUGACUUUCGUAGGCUGUCGUUGCGUUGGUAGACUUUUAGGGAUUUUUAUCGAUGAAUUACCAUAAAAAAUGGCCACACUACUACUGUUAAGGCGAUUAGUUUGACAAUGGAAAACUUUCCAUUUGAAGCAGUUGGCUGAUGAUCGGGAUUUUGGGAGUCUACUGAAUAGUUGAGCUACAGACAAACAGACGUAACACCUAAAACAAUUUUCGUGAAAAUCCAUCGCUCAUUUCACACUAUCAUCACCUGGUGGAAAUGUUGCACAACACACUACGAUGUGCAAUAUCGUCAACAGAAGCCGCUACUGUGAAACGUCAAAUACAUAGAAAAACGAUGCAAAGGGUUCAUUCACAAAUAAAAACUAUAAAGAUUUAAAAUGAUCGUUAAAAGCGUGGUCGAUGAAAAUUUCGCCAGUGUUACGUCUGUUUGUCUGUGGUUGAGCUCUAAACUAAUGCCGUUUUUCUUUUUGAACCUGGGUUGGAACUGGAUUGGCGGAAAAUAUGUAAACAAACAACGUCAAACAAACUUUAGUAUGUACAAGCGAAACCGAAAUCGGGUUGGGGUUGAAACUGUGAUCUGAUCCAGUUCCAACCCAGGUUGGAACUGGAUAAUAAAGAAAAACGGCAUAAGUAUUCAAUCGCGAGUAGGAUGAUAGGAAGCAAUUUACGAAACUUGUUCAAUUUAACAGCGAUGUGAGCUACCAUGUUAAAUAUUUCAAUGUACCUACAUACAUACAUUGUAAUAGAUGUCUUGUGUCAUGUACGACAGGACUUCAAGAUCGAUUCUGAUGUCGUCGUUGCCGAUCGUAUUUUAUCGUUAGCAUGUCGUCUGACUUGAAAUAUGCUUGAUUUAUUAUAAGUACCAUAAAUAACAUCAGGUACGUGUCGUCCAUUAAGCUUGCACCAAAUAUCAUGCGUAAACAUCAGUCCAGUUACACGGAGUUACUUGUACUUAGGGAGGUCACCUCUAGGUAGUAUCCAAGUGUUCCAGUAUGUUUUGCAAAUAAAUAAGUUAUGCAUUGAUGACUGAGAACAACCCAAUUACAGAUUCAAUGAAAUUUUAAGGUGAAUAUAUAACGAAGCCACAACUCGAAUUCUCAAGAGCACAAAUCUGAAGAACCGAAUGUCGGUUUGCACUGAAAAGUUGAUCGAUUGGUCGCCACCAGCGGGUAACCAAUCGAUCAACUUUUUAGCUCAAACCGACAUUCGGUUCUUCAGAUGUGUGCUCUCGAAAAAUCGAGGUGUGGCUUCGUUAUAUAUUCACCUUAACCCUCCUAAGAAGUUAGGUUUUUCGCACCACGAUGGUGUAGUGCACGUUUGGCGUGCCUGUCUGGGUCAUAUUGACCCAAACAUCUACUAGGGUUAAACAUGUCAACAUUGGCAGAAUUUACAGAAAAAAAUCAUACUAGAAACUAGCACUGCAUUUUCUUUCAUAGUUUUAAGUUAUUGCAAGGGACAGAUGUUGACUGUGGAAAUAGUCAAAUCACUUAUGAGGUUCCCACUCAAUGCAUACGUUUGCGUGUGUGUGACAGUAGUUUGACAGAUUUCCCAAGAAAAACCUAAAAAAGCAAACCUCUAAGCAACGGGUUCCAUAAGUUCCUUAAGGCUUAACAUCAGCAACGAAUCCUUGUUUCCUCAGCAUAAGAAAUGUCUUGCGUACAUGCUUCCCGUCAAGCAGCGAUCAGUGAACUGAGUGUUUGUGGAUGCUCCCAAGAGGGAGUCUUGUCACUCCGUUUGAGGAAUCUCGUAGCAGACAUGUCAUUGAGUGGACUUGCAGUUUCUAGAAGAAAAAACACGCAAUUUCAGAACUAUGCCCUUCACAAGAUGGUCGGUAAAAUGAAAGACAAAUCCCUGAAAAGGUCGCAAAUGGAUUCAAUGGAAGAUUUCGUAUACGAAUUGAUGACAAAUUUCAUGUCCACACUCUUUGGAAAGCAUUCCAGUGGUAUUCCUCGAAAUUCUCGAAAUAAUUACUGAAAGAAAUGGAAACGACAAUUAUCAACAAUUUGGGCAACAUUCCAAAUCCCGAUUUAUUGCCAGAACAGUAGCAACAUUGAACUUCUGUGGCUACUCGCAUAAACCAUAACCAUGAAGGUGCCAUUAGACUGUUUGUCAUAAUGGCAAAUGUUUGCCAUUGAAGCACAGAGAACAGACGUCUAUCUUCGCUUUCUGCCUUGUGUAAAACUUUGUAACGGUCUUUUCAGAGUAUGUGGUUAUGCUACCGUUGAGCGGCGCUAGCGUCCCAUCACUUACAUUGUUGUGUUGUCAUAUUUGUUUCCAGUGUUCGCCGUUUUUGGCCGUUUGGCGCUCGUGUCGCUUUGUGGGCUAGUGUAUUUUAACGAAGAACACUGCCAUCGUGGGGUCAAAUCGACUUUAUAUGUGGGGCAGUCUCCGUUGGUGGCGUUAAGGUACACGUAAAUCCUUUACACACGAUUUCGACGUAUUUUUGUUCGAGCUUAAACGUCUGUUCUCUGUGCUUGAAGUCCAACAUUUAUCCAAGGUUGCUAUGAUUUACGUUGUGUUGGCCAUUUGUUUACCUUGUUUGGCAAAAUGUUUGUCACGUUAAGACCUUAAGACGUGCUUAACCAACCAUUUGGCAUACAGUUCGACCAGUUACGGUAUUGUUGAACCAUCUACAUUACGGUCCGUGUAUGGUAUUGGUUUAUUAGGGUAGUUAUUCUAAUGUAUAAUAUCAUGAAGGAGAACGAGUUAAAAAUCUUGUGAGAGACUACAGCGAUAUUGUUAUGGAGAAAGUCAUUUAAAAACACCUGCCGGAUGCUUUACUGAGACAAAGAUUCUCUCAGCGUGUGAUGUUGGCAAUCUGUUUUUUGCCUAUAUUCAUGGAUGCAAUUUUGGAAAACUUACUGAUGGAAUUUCUCAAGUAUUCGAGGCACAUUUUCAUUAACAACUUCGCCUGAUUUUUUUUUUUGAAAUUCUUCUCAAAAUUUACAUUUGAAGCCAGGGGUAGGACACAAUAUUGAAAAACAAACAAACUGAAAACAAAGACAAACUCAUUGGAACCGCAAUAUGGCCGUCACAAUGGCUGACUUUUGUACCUUCUCGCCGCGAUGCCCAGCACGUAAAUCUAAUAAAAUCCCAAAACAGUGCUUCUGAUCAUUUGAUUUUAAGCAAAUUACAAGUGAGCAAGAACAUUGCAUUGUUGAACUGAGAUUUCAACACGUUUGUGUUUAACAUAGAACAAACAUCAAAUAAUGAGCCAAUAUAAACCCUUGAUCCAUUAUUCGUCGUUUAGACUAUGAAUUCAUUCACAAAUUUUGAAAACGACGUAUAAGCAAUGGUGUAGCAUUGCUUAUACGUCGUUUUCAAAAUUUGUUACUGAAUUGUCAUAAAGCCUUAGGGUGCUAUGUAGCCCGAAUCUUUCUUGAAGUAAUUUAUUAUAAUGUUGAAAAGAUGCACUGACGAAGUUUUUAAAAGCGGAAAUGCACCUGAAAUAUGUUAUGGAAUUUGAUGAAGGAGGCAAUUUCAUUUGGAUUUUUCCAGAAAUUUUUAGCUUAUUCCAAUAGCAGUUCCUGACGAGA